GGAUGGAUUUCCAUGUAGCUCAGGUUGAUCGGAUCAAUAGUAACUCUAUAGAAAUCCAUCAGUGUCAUAAUUUCUUCUACGGGACAAUUUGUCAGGUUGGUGCAAGAACACCCUUAACACCACACUUUUGCGCAUAUGGUGUGCUAAAAAAACACACCCUUAGCAGCACGCUUAAGUGCAUGUGCAUGAAGGCGUUUCUGUACUGAUUUAAUGCUAAAAAAUGUUUUGAUAAGGGUGUCCUUGCACCGACUUGACAAAUUCAGCUUGGAGACAUUUUGUUCUCCCAAUUCAGCAUAGGCUAGUUCUGUGACACUCAAAUUAGUACUAAUAGUAAUAGAUUUUGAACUUUUGUGUGAACUUUUCAUAAUGGCUAUUAAAAAGAAGUCUAGAUGUUUUGAAUAAACUGGAGAAAAAAAGUGAACCCAGUUUCCUGCCUUUUGUUAUGCACCUAGACUGUAAGAAAGCAUUGUUGAUAAUAUGUAGUUAUUACCCAUACAGUGUGUUAUAUACUGGUUCAUAAAUAUGUAUUUAUCCUAUCUCAAUUUCUGAUGGGCAGUACACAGAUAAUAUUGUAUUGUACAUGUGUGAGUCAAAAUUUUGCUGUGUGAUGAAAUUAAUUGUACCUUUUGAUAAAAGUAUUAUCUGUAUGUGUUAUUGAUUAUUCAUUAAUUAUUCUUAAUUCUCGCAUUACCUGUUGAGAUUCUCACUUGUUUUUAUGUAAAAUUGUUGAUAUUCUAAAUAAAUCAUAAAUAUUUGUCCAUUCACCUGUUAAGAUCAUGUAGUCUCAAAUCUACAGUACUUUUCUCUGAAGUUCAUCCUGUCAUCUUUCUGUUAAUGAUCUUAAAUGAAUGAUGUGCAAUGAUCGUUCUUUAGCUUUCUGCUAGUUCUUUCUUACAUUCUUUUUUUUUAUUCUUAUAACGGAAGCUGAUGAUUUUAUACAAUUUGAAUUUUUGUAGAUAUCAUUGUUAAAUUAUAUUAGUAUAAUUUGUAAUGUAAUGGUUUCAUUGUUAAUUUAUUUCCUUGUGUGUUUGAUUAGUUUAGUUGAUUUAUAAUUUUAACAAAUCUCAUUCCUUCUCUUCCAUUUGGAAGAGAGGUGUGAAAUAAAUGAAUCUGAAUCUUUUCUUCUCUUUACCGGUAUCUAAAAGUUUACUUUUGAAUAUAAUCAGAAAGUCUUUACUUUUGAAUAUAAUCAGCAUUUUUUCCGGGAGUGGGGGGGGGGGUACAUAAACCCUGUACAAUAGAUGUCAACAUAUUAAAGGUUUGGUAGUCUGAUAUACAGUAUGCUCUUUAGUCAACAUACACAAUACAUUACACCUGUAAAGCCCUUUUAACCCUGGACAUUAGUUGUCAAUGGACAUGUAUUAUGGCUUAGCCAUCUGAUAUACAGUGUGCUCUAUAGUCAGCAUACACAAUAUAUUACACUGUAAAGACCUUUAACCCUGUACAUAAGGUGUCAAUGUAUUAAGUUUUAGCAGUCUGGGGUGUUAAUACUAACACCAGUUGGUGUCCCUAUAGGACCACACCCAAAGGUGUUGUAAUAGCACCCAAAGGUGUUUGACUAACACCAACUAAUUAACACUUGAUUAGAAUGACUGUGGUCCUGUAUUUACACAAAUCGACACCGCAUCUUUCGCUGUGUAGGUGUCGAUUCAUGUUUUGAAAAAAAAAUAAUGUACUGAA
rnacentral:lncRNA from 1 species